GGAGUGAUUUUUACCACCGAGUUUUAUGGAUGUCAUUCAACAAAGGCGAGGUGAGCAGGGUGAAAGCAUAAGCCAGCACAACCCAAAACUAAUUAAAGAAUCACAAAGGCCUUCGGAAAUCAUCUGGGCAGGAUGCUGCUGGCUGUGCAUGCACGUCCCCUGGGGCUGACCACUCUCUUCACCGGAAUACAGGCAAGUGAAGCAGGGCAGUGUGCCCGGUGGAGGAUUUGCCUCAUCAACAUGCUCUCCGAGCCCCACACUGCAGAGAAGAGCAGAAAGCAACGUUAGCAGGUUACCCAAGUUGGAAGCUGUGGUAGGCUGAAAAAUGGCCCUGAAAGAUAGCCAGAUUCUAUGCCCUGGCACCUGGGAUUAUCAUCUUAUAUGGCAAAAGGACUUUGCAGAUGUUAUGUCAGAG